GGAAGCUUAGCUCUACUCAGCAUAUUAUAGUACAACAUCAGUUCAGUGAUUUAGUGUAGAAAAUUUGUGGCUUCCGUCAGAUUAAAGUGGAGGAAUCUUGCAACAAAAAGAAGGACUACUUAUGCCGCCAUUUUACAUUCAUUUACAUGUACCGUAUUAUUUUAUUCCAACUUUACAGCAGUAUAAUUUUAUUUCUUUUUAUAACUGGCCCUAGCUCUACUCAGGACUAACAAAUAGAAGUUGUAAGGUCUAAUAUGGUAUAAAAAUCAAGCUGAUUUAAUGACGAUGAGUGUAAGGAAUCUAUGGCUGAAUAUCAGAAAUUUUCUGCAUGUUAAUACUGCGGCUAUAUCUAAAUAAGACAAAAGAAGUAACAAAGUCACUUAGAAGAAGUGCAGUUAUGGAGCUGUUCCUGAGCGGUACUGGAUUCCUACCAUAAAGUCAUUGCUCGAGACGCUUUCUUGAACAACAAACCCUGUUAACAACAUAUUCUAUUGUAAUAGUGCUGUUUUGACUUUCUAGAAGUCAGUACUUCUGAAUAAAAACAAAUUAUCAUAA